UGCCAUAAUCCUAUAUUAUUUAUUUUUCAUAUGCUUUAUUUUUCUCUAAACCGAAUGAACCCUAGAAAAGAAAAGAGAUUCCUACGCGGUGCACACACAUCUUUUAGCUUACGUGGUGCCCCUUCUGACAUACGAAAUUUUUUGACAGAGGCGCAGCUCAGAUGGCAUCCUCGUGAAAUCGCCGCCGCCGUUCGUAUUUCGGUGAUUUGGCUGCGGUGUCAUCGAGGCGCGAAGAACUCGGCUCUGGGGUACGAACAGGUUGGGGGAAAGUUGAAGAGGUAAUUGAAUAAUUUUUUUCUUGUCAGUUACUCGUCACUGUGUUACCAGGAACCUACGUGUAAAUUGUUACACCCAAAGUAUUUUUUUUUUGUGAAAUUCCCACAACCCGACGAACUCCACAUAACUACCGUGUGUCCAAUCCAGACUAAAUUGUACUCCUUUUGAUACAUAAAAAAUAUCGGUAGUUUUAUACUGAGUAAAAAAAAAUUGUACUAAGUGUGGCCACACUUUUUAUGAUGGAUCGGAGGGAGUACUACUUUACACAUCAUCUCAAGUUUUAGGACUAGUCUAUCCUAGUAUUACGCAAAUAGUUUGACUAAAAUGUUUGCGCCUCUUAAGUACUCGCUCCGUCUCAUAUUAAGUGACAAUAUAUUAC
rnacentral:lncRNA from 1 species